UGCAGAUGCCCGACAUCCCGUGUCAUUUUCACUCCUUAGACUCACCAAAUAAGCCCCGAAUCAAGACCAUUAACACAGUUUAUUCAGUUAGGCUCGAUAUGUGUUCAUUUCUACUAGCUAAUAACGUGUGUGUACAUCGUUGUGAGGGAGACCGCGACCCGUAUGUUUUUCACGGGAUGCUAGUCGCGGUGUGCAAAUAUUAGCUGGUGGGCUAUCGCAGUCUAAUUGAGUGCGAGGCCAGAAAAAAGCGAUUAAUUUCGCUUUGGACGGAAUAUUCGCACUCAUUUUUGGUCUACCCCAUGUGUGGGCUCGAAUGCGCGAAAAACAGCCAGGGCUCGACCGCGAUCGCAUCGAUUAUUUUAAUGUGUCGCUCUGUCUGACAAGCGAUAACCCCCCCGCAGCUAACGCGCUAGCCUCCCCUCACGAUACUAGUGCUGAAAGCGAGAGCAAAACAAACUAAAUAAACCAUUCUGAUGUCGUCAAAUAGUCGUGUAGAUAAAUAAUAGCCACAAAAACUGUCUGGAUCGAUAUAUGUAUAGUGUGAAAUGGUUUCUGCUUGGCAGUAAGGUCAGUGCUAAUCGGCUAGCUACCUAGCGACACAAAGAUCGGGAGGCUCGCGAGCUCUGAUUCAAUGAAUGUGGCCAUUGUGUGGAAUUAAACAAACACCUACAAGCUGCAACAACUUACCCGACUUACAGACGUGCACAAUGAUCAGGGAUGAGGCGGGCGGCUCCACCGUCUUUUUCUCGGUGUAUUCAGCACACUUCCUGCUGCGGGCUGAACGGGGAUGAAGCGCUGCGGACGUGCUCCACCGCGUCAUUCUGCGCUCAUUCUCCCGUGUGUUUGCGUUGGAACUAAGCAUUGUGUGAUGCACCGUGGACCUAAUCACAAAACAGAUGUUUGCGUUGAUUGUUUCCAGUAUUUGGGUAGACAAUAGACAGUGUCUGCAACUUUCUGUCCAAACACUGGAAAUACCACAAACCAAAGAGUACGAUGGUACCACCAUGUUUUACUACGGUAUUAUUUUACGUACACUGUAAAACUAGUACUAGGGUCGAGAGGGGCUAGUUGCCACAAGGAAUGUAUUUUAGUACCCAAAAGGUUUCAGCCGAACUUAAAGGGAUAGUUUAUCCCUGAAUGAAAAUUCUGUCAUUAUUUAUUCACUCUUAUGUUGUUCGAAACCUGUAUGGAUUUUUUUCUUCUGCAGAACAUAAAAGAUGAUAUUUUGAAGAAUGUUAGUAAUGCAACAUUCAGUAGCCAUUGACAUCCAUAGUAUUUUUUUCCGUACUAACAUUAUUCUUUUUUUUUUACGUGAACCCAUACAUGUUUCAAAUGACAUGAGGGUGAGUAAAUCAUGACAAAAUGUAAAUUUUCGGGUUAACUAUACCUUUAAGUACACAAAUGCUUGUUUCGUCUAGUCUAGUGGUUUCGUAAGCUGGUUUAAAACAUAAUUAAACGCUGCUGUUUUUGCUAUAGUACAUGAAUGCAAUAAAACCACACCAGCUUACAUUCAGUUUUAAGUGUCACAUGUUUUAAAAGUUAUACAUUAAUAAUUUUUUUUUAUUACAAUAUUUAAUAGCCAAAACCAUUUGGUUUGUUAUUUAUGUACACUGAAUUUGCAGUUUCAUGUACUGUCCUGGUUGCAUACAUUGUUGUGUUAUAUUGCGUAUGCAUUUUUCUGGGACUUUGAUGUCUGUAAAGAACAUGUAAACCUACGAUAAAAUAUUCACUAGAAGAGUCAAAGUUUGGACACACCAACUUAUUCAAUAAUCUUAUUUGAUCUUUUCAACAUUUUAACAACAAAGUCUUUCAAACUGUGAAAAAACACAAAUGGAAGUUAUAUGAAUGGAAAUUAAAUACUGAAUGUUUUACAAA